rnacentral:rRNA from 1 species
ACUCCUACGGGAGGCAGCAGUGAGGAAUAUUGGACAAUGGGUGGAAGCCUGAUCCAGCCAUCCCGCGUGCAGGAAGACGGCCCUAUGGGUUGUAAACUGCUUUUAUCUGGGGAUAAACCUACUUACGUGUAAGUAGCUGAAGGUACCAGAAGAAUAAGCACCGGCUAACUCCGUGCCAGCAGCCGCGGUAAUACGGAGGGUGCAAGCGUUAUCCGGAUUUAUUGGGUUUAAAGGGUCCGUAGGCGGACUGAUAAGUCAGUGGUGAAAUCCGACAGCUUAACUGUCGAACUGCCAUUGAUACUGUUAGUCUUGAGUAAGGUUGAAGUGGCUGGAAUAAGUAGUGUAGCGGUGAAAUGCAUAGAUAUUACUUAGAACACCAAUUGCGAAGGCAGGUCACUAAGUCUUAACUGACGCUGAUGGACGAAAGCGUGGGGAGCGAACAGGAUUAGAAACCCUGGUAGUCCC